rnacentral:lncRNA from 1 species
AAUGAAUUAGAACGUCCAUCGGGCAAAGACGAGAAUGGAAUUAAUGUCCCCUGCCCGUUUCUGCUUAAACCCACUCAAAAAAUCGUGGCUGCAAUCAAAAAUAAACCGCACCAGUUCUCACUUCUUUUUAGCAGCACUCGUCUGCUAUAUUCAUUCAUCGACAAUAAGUAGAAUCCCCCUUUCGAUUCUGAACUCUGAAGCAGCCACCAAGAUGACACAUACAGUGGAAUGAUGGCUCCUUGCAAGAGUCAGAACAUGCAUGCUAGUUUCCCUCGAGACUAGAGAGGAUCUGGUUCUUAUUCGAUUCUCUAUGGACGGCGACGCGUAAAAUUCUGGGAAUAUAUGCAUCC